rnacentral:rRNA from 1 species
AUUGAACGCUGGCGGCAGGCCUAACACAUGCAAGUCGAACGAGUGGCGGACGGGUGAUUAAUGUCUGGGAAACUGCCCGCUGGAGGGGGUUAGCUACUGGAAAGGGUCGCUAAUUCCGCAUACCAUUGGAUGUGCCCAGAGGGGCUUAGCGUGUAGGUGGGGUAAUGGCUUACCUAGGCGACGAUCCCGAGCUGGUCUGAGAGGAUGACCGGCCACACUGGAACUGAGACACGGUCCAGACUCCUACGGGAGGCAGCAGUGGGGAAUAUUGCACAAUGGGCGCAAGCCUGAUGCAGCCAUGCCGCGUGUAUGAAGAAGGCCUUCGGGUUGUAAAGUACUUUCAGCGAGGAGGCGUUACUCGCAGAAGAAGCACCGGCUAACUCCGUGCCAGCAGCCGCGGUAAUUC